rnacentral:rRNA from 1 species
GAUGAACGCUGACAGAAUGCUUAACACAUGCAAGUCUUUGGCGAAGCUGUGCUUGCACAGCCUAGCCAAGGCGGACGGGUGAGUAACGCUUAAGGAACUUGCCCUGCAGUCAGGGAUAACAGACGGAAACGACUGAUAAGACCUGGUAAAGUCAGGCGGACUCAUGUCCAGCCUGAUUAAAAGAGAUGCUGCAGGAGAGCCUUGCGUCCUAUUAGCUUGUUGGUGGGGUAACGGCCCACCAAGGCGAUGAUAGGUAGCCGGCCUGAGAGGGUGGACGGCCACAAGGGGACUGAGAUACGGCCCUUACUCCUACGGGAGGCAGCAGUGGGGAAUAUUGGACAAUGGGGGCAACCCUGAUCCAGCAAUUCUGUGUGCACGAUGAAGGUUUUCGGAUUGUAAAGUGCUUUCAGCAGGGAAGAAAAAAAUGACGGUACCUGCAGAAGAAGCGACGGCUAAAUACGU